rnacentral:rRNA from 1 species
AUUGAACGCUGGCGGCAGGCCUAACACAUGCAAGUCGAACGAGUGGCGGACGGGUGAGUAAUGUCUGGGAAACUGCCCGAUGGAGGGGGAUAACUACUGGAAACGGUAGCUAAUACCGCAUACCAUCGGAUGUGCCCAGAUGGGAUUAGCUAGUAGGUGGGGGAACGGCUCACCUAGGCGACGAUCCCUAGCUGGUCUGAGAGGAUGACCAGCCACACGGGAACUGAGACACGGUCCAGACUCAGACGGGAGGCAGCAGUGGGGAAUAUUGCACAAUGGGGUCAAGCCUGAUGCAGCCAUGCCGCGUGUAUGAAGAAGGCCGUCGGGGUGUAAAGUACUUUCAGCUAGGAGGCGUUACUCGCAGAAGAAGCACCGGCUAACUCCGUGCCAGCCGCCGCGGUAAUUC